rnacentral:piRNA from 1 species
UCAAACGAGAGUGGCUGGAAGUGCUGGAG